rnacentral:lncRNA from 1 species
GCUCUUCCUCGUUACUUUGGGAUUUGAUACGGACGAUCAAUUUCGUUUUAUUGGUUUAAAAUUACAAAGAAAAAUAUGAUGAUAUUGUAUGAUAUUACUCAAUAAAGUAAGGUCAUAUAUACAUGAUCAUCUAUCACCAAAGAGGAUGGGAUAGAGCGGAAGGUCUCAUAAAACACCAAUGUGAUUUUUCGUAUAAGGCCCACUAGCGCCUCUGUUGAGUCGUAAGACAAACUAUUCUUCUCCCACCCUUUAUUUCAGCGGGAAAUCCGAAUGAAAUUGAUAGGCUACUCACUGUUACGGACCACUUUAUAGACUACGUAGAUUAUGAAUAUGGGACAAAAGAAUAAUAGAACAUCCACUAUUACAAGUAAUAAGUGUAUUCGUUAUUGAAAGUAAAGAUUAUUGAAUAACACAAUAACAUACGUAGUAUAUUUAACUAUAUUUACAUUUGGUUAAACUUUAGUAGCAACAAAAUUACAGAUUUCAUCUAUGGAUUCUUGGAAUAAUAAUAUAUAUUUACAAUUCUAUUUUACUGUGUAUAAUGCAGCUAGAUUUUUAUGAAAUGUCGUUAUUGGAAUAAAUUUGCGUUCUUCCUGGUGAGAUUUAAAUUCUUUUUUCGCUAUCAAUCUAACCUUCCCAAUAGCAUUAUGUAAUUCAUGUAAUAUCUAAAUGCCACUGAGAAUUCAUAGUUCCACAUUUAAUUCACAACAGAAUGUUACACACGAUGGUUUCACAAAAUAUGAUCAUAUCGAUGAGGAAUAAAAUAUUAAUCCAGUACCUGACACCAGCUCUACAAAUAUCGCUCCAUUGACAGAGACUGAAAAUUCUGCAUCUAUAUACCUUGAGGAUGUAUUGCUCGAGACAUAACACCUCAUUAUGAUUUCUGCCAGGAGACAAUGCCAAGUGAACCAUUAAAAGGAGUAAGCAAUAUCAACCAGCGAUUGAAUGGGUUUGUACAAACAUUGAAUGGGCUG